UUCCAGACUGUUAGCUGUGGGUAUCGCAAAGCACCCAUGACAAUUUUGUACCUGUCAAGGAUAUAAUGCAUUGUCCCAGCAUUUGUAAUAACAGCUACUAUGCAUAUUGAAUGCAUAACUUCAGACAGUACGUCAGUCUUCUUUUUCAUCUCAUUUCAGAAAUUCUUUUUUUUUUCCUAGCAAAGAGAGAUUGAAAAAUAAUAGGGUCUUCUCCUCAAGUCUGCAAUAGCAGUUGCGAUAUCAGUGUUUUCUUCAAAUAAAUUUAGAGCUUAAAAGAUAAGAAUUGGAGACAGAGCGAGAGAGUUGUUGGUUAUUCUUACAGCCAUAAUAAAAUAUCCCCUGGGUUCGCCUUUUCCUGCAAAUUUAAAUUGUGUUCAAAGAACACAGAGAGAGAUGUGAAAUGAGACGUCUUUACUAAAUCAUUGAUGACCUGAGGUCAGCAAGAGGUAGACUUUUAAUUGCUUAUUUAUUAAAUUUCUGGCAGUUGAUCUCUGGAUUGCUUCGUACCACAAGUCAGAUUGUUAAUUAAAUCUGUGUAAAAGUUUUGGUUUUAUCUAUAAAAACUCUCCUACAGGUUUCACACGUGUCUAAAUUGGGCUGAAUGUGUGAGCGGCGAAGCCUAUUUAUUGAGAGCCAGCCAGCAGCACCGUUUCGAGUAUUUUUGCCAGCAGCUGUUCUACCUUAGGCUGGGAUUUCAUGAAAAGACACUUGCCGGAGUCAUUGCUGCAGCAACCACGCCGCCAGCUCCGCCUGAAGUGGAUGUGGUUUGUUUAGAAGACAGCACUCUUCCCCGAGUCCAGUUUAUGCACCCCGAUGGGCUGAGAAACUAUGCACCCGCCGUUGUUUAUCACGAGGAAUGGCUCUAAAGACUUCAUGUGGUCCCUGUGUACAGGAAGAGGCUGACAAACUGCGGCCGGUGAAGACAGAAUGGGGAAAUCCAGCGGAAAGAGGCUUUGCAAGGAGCUGCAGAUUCAUUGUGGGUAAUCGGGCCCAGAGAGAGCAACGAAUUGUAUAAAUGCAAACGAAUAUGUCUGCAUUUUGAUGCCACCCCCGCCCUCAGGCCAUGCAGAGACUGAGGAACCGCUGCCCUCUUCUAUUACUCUGGCCUGACCCUAAGGACUUCUCUGUCUGGUUUAAUCACCCUGACAAGAAUUUCCAAAUUCCAAGAAAUGUUUGUUUCAGGUGGAGAGAAAAGGAAAUCAUAUGUUCAAGAAGCAUGAUUUUAUUCUGAGUUCUUUUUACAGUUAUCUGGACCAUUAAAUUUUGUUGUGCAGUAUUAGUUCAAUUGCAUUGUGAUUGGAUAUUAUUUUUCAGGGGGAAUGGAUGAAAUCAAGGAUCUUAACAAAAAUCAAUCUGUUUAUGUAUUUAUUUGUGUUCUAAGGGGUUAGUUAAUUUCUUCUUCUUCCUAGAACUUCUUCAUUUCUUCUCUUGGGA